CCUACGGGAGGCAGCAGUGGGGAAUAUUGGGCAAUGGGCGCAAGCCUGACGCAGCAACGCCGCGUGAAGGAAGAAGGCUUUCGGGUUGUAAACUUCUGUUCUGAGGGACGAAGAAAGUGACGGUACCUCAGGAAUAAGCCACGGCUAACUACGUGCCAGCAGCCGCGGUAAUACGUAGGUGGCAAGCGUUAUCCGGAUUUAGUGGGUGUAAAGGGCGGGUAGGCGGGAAAGCAAGUCAGAUGUGAAAACUCAGGGCUCAACCCUGGGACUGCAUUUGAAACUGUUUUUCUUGAGUGUUGGAGAGGCUAUCGGAAUUCCGUGUGUAGCGGUGAAAUGCGUAGAUAUACGGAGGAACACCAGUGGCGAAGGCGGCUUGCUGGACAGUAACUGACGCUGAGGCGCGAAAGCGUGGGGAGCAAACAGGAUUAGAUACCCCAGUAGUC
rnacentral:rRNA from 1 species